UACGUAGGGUGCAGGCGUUAAUCGGAAUUACUGGGCGUAAAGCGUGCGCAGGCGGCUCUUUAAGUCAGAUGGUGAAAGCCCCGGGCUUAACCUGGGAAUUGCGUUUGAAACUGGAGAGCUGGAGUGUGGAAGAGGGGGGUGGAAUUCCAGGUGUAGCAGUGAAAUGCGUAGAGAUCUGGAGGAACACCGAUGGCGAAGGCAGCCCCCUGGGUCAAGAUUGACGCUCAUGCACGAAAGCGUGGGGAGCAAACGAGG
rnacentral:rRNA from 1 species